rnacentral:lncRNA from 1 species
UCCUACGUAUCAGUGCGUAUGCUUUUAUUUACUAUUUCGUGCGCUAAAAUACUGCGUGCAUGCAAUAAUAUUAAUUUUACUCGUGAAAGCGGAUUUUCGUUUUUCUUUUUUAUAUUCAGGACACGGCAUGUUACUUUCAAGUACGGUCAUCGUUACUAACAGUAUUCUGACCUCUACCUGUUUCUCUUUUGUUUCAUUUUUUAAGUGCUUGUCUUAUUAUAAACUUUUGCCUUUUCGAAAAGUUAAUGAUUGUCUACCCAAGGAAUAGAUUCCUUAACUUUGUUAUUUAUUUGGCGUUUUAACUUUUUUCUUUCGAGCGUCACUGAUGCUUUUUUGUCGACUUAACUCGCGUCUGACGUUUAUAAUUUUAAUUCUGGUAUCUUUUUAUAUCUACAUACCUUUUGAUAUAAAUUGGUUAUUUUGAAAGUAUGUACUGGUAUUUAUAAAAUUUUUGAAUUAAGUUAUUCUUUGGCAAAACCAAGUUUCCCUGUAGGAUAUUUAAAUUGAUUUAAGUAAAAU